CAUAACAUCUAUCUCUUUUUUCCCCCUGAGGACUAUCAGAUUCCAAAAUGAUUUUGUCUUGAAUUCUGAAUUUUCUGUAAAAACGAGGUUGCACUGCAGUACCAUGGUUGAGCAGAUUGGAGUACAAGGAGCAAAGAGGGGUAGUACGUUUAUUUUCUCCUUCUGACUUUUAUUUUCUGUCAGUACACAAAAGAGGUAGUACAUAGCCAGCUUGUUCAACUAAAAAUCUCAAAGUUCUUGUACAUGUACGACAACCUCCCUUUGCCUUCUUGGCAUUAUAUAUAGAGCAAAAUGACGGAGCAUAGGCAUAAACAGAAGCAGCCUGAGCCUGUGGUAAAAACAGAAGCUUUGAGGCAAAAAUCUCAUUGUUGGGAGAUUGAUUAUUGUUGUUUUGACAAUUGUUGAGAUGGUGACAGAUAUGUGAGAUCAUUCGCAUUCAAUUGAUUUGUAUUUCUUUUGAAGUGUAAUCAGCAAUUAUAUCUACUAAAAAGAAGAAAAGUAAGUGUCAUCUACCCAAGUUACUGUGCCUUGAUUGUCAAAUUGUUUCAUUGCAGGUAAUAGAGUGCUAUGUCAGCUGAAAAGUUCCAUGAAGUUUGUGCUUCAGAAGCAAUGCUAGUGUUUAUCCAUUAUUGGAUCUUCCGAUAGAGAAUCUGGAAAUGCAUUAGCAUUGAUCAGAAAUUAAUUAGCAGCAGCACACACAUUAGAUAUGAUCUUUCUUCUAUCCCUAUAAAUUAUGUACGCGUAGCUUUGGACACUUUGUUUGUACAAUAAUCUCUAGGACGAAUGGCUUGUUGCAAUUAGAAAACACUGUGGAAUGACAAUCGUAUGUUUUGAAUGCCAUUUCUUUUCUCAUGUUACAAACUGCAGAACCAUUCCAGGUAUUCGAAUGUAAUGAUGCUUUGGUCCUUCUCACAUGCCAGCCCAGGUGGUUCAUUAAAAACAAAUCAAUGUGUCACAGAAUGAAUUUCCGAAUGGCGAAUGCAGAGAUUACUCAAAACAGAACAUGUUUUGGCACACCUUAUAACUAGAACAAAACGAGAAUCAAAAUGCACCCUUCAGUGUCUUUCACAUUCAUGAUAUGGGUUUAGGUUAGACUUGUUUCUGGUUCUCCAUACAGACCAUCAGAGGGUCUAUUGUAAUUAAGUCACCCAUAUCAGUAAAUUACGAUUCAAAAAAAAAAAAAAA